rnacentral:rRNA from 1 species
UAUUGUGAUCAUUAACCAAUAUUAACAACAAUCACACACAACAAAAUCUCACCAAAAUAUAUAAAAUCCACAUAUAAGCUGGUGUGAGCCUGGUCGGUACCUGGAUGGGAGACCUCCUGGGAAAGCUAAGGUUAUUGCUGGAA